AAGCAGUACAGAAUGGAUGUUGGAGAACAAGGGAGUUACUUCUGGGCUUCUGGAAAAACCAGACGCCUAUAAUCCUCAACCUCCUAACUU
ensembl:misc_RNA predicted gene, 56344